rnacentral:rRNA from 1 species
CGAACGGGUGAGUAACACAUGGGUAGAUCUGCCUUGCACUCUGGGAUAAGCUUGGGAAACUGGGUCUAAUACCGGAUAGGAACCGUCUUUAGUGUGGUGGUUGGAAAGUUUUUCGGUGCAAGAUGAGCUCGCGGCCUAUCAGCUUGUUGGUGGGGUAAUGGCCUACCAAGGCGUCGACGGGUAGCCGGCCUGAGAGGGUGUACGGCCACAUUGGGACUGAGAUACGGCCCAG